GCAUUUAUUCCAGUGUCUAACUGCUCAUAACGAACCCCAAAUGAUGGAGGCCAUCAAGAAAAAGAUGCAAAUGCUGAAGCUAGACAAGGAAAAUGCCUUGGACCGGGCAGAGCAGGCUGAGGCUGAACAGAAGCAGGCAGAGGACCGAAGUAAGCAGUUGGAGGAUGAGCUGGCAGCUAUGCAGAAGAAGCUUAAGGGAACAGAGGAUGAACUGGACAAGUAUUCAGAAGCACUGAAGGAUGCCCAGGAGAAGCUGGAACUAGCAGAGAAGAAGGCAGCAGAUGCUGAGGCUGAGGUGGCUUCCUUGAACCGUCGGAUCCAGCUGGUUGAGGAGGAGCUGGACCGUGCUCAGGAGCGCCUGGCGACAGCUCUGCAGAAACUAGAAGAGGCAGAGAAGGCAGCUGAUGAGAGUGAGAGAGGUAUGAAGGUCAUUGAAAAUCGGGCCUUGAAGGAUGAAGAGAAGAUGGAGCUGCAAGAAAUCCAGCUGAAAGAGGCCAAGCACAUUGCAGAGGAAGCAGACAGGAAGUAUGAGGAGGUGGCCCGAAAAUUGGUGAUCAUUGAGGGAGACUUGGAACGCACAGAGGAGCGGGCCGAGCUGGCUGAGUCUAAGUGUUCUGAGCUGGAGGAGGAGCUGAAGAAUGUCACCAACAACCUCAAAUCUCUUGAGGCUCAGGCGGAGAAGUAUUCACAGAAAGAAGACAAAUAUGAGGAAGAGAUAAAGAUUCUUACUGAUAAACUCAAGGAGGCAGAGACCCGUGCUGAGUUUGCUGAGAGAUCGGUAGCCAAACUGGAAAAGACGAUUGAUGACUUGGAAGAUGAGCUCUAUGCCCAGAAACUGAAGUACAAGGCCAUUAGCGAGGAAUUGGACCACGCCCUCAAUGACAUGACCUCUAUAGCGUCUCUACAGCCAACUUGAGCGAAACCGCCUGCUCUCUAACGAGCUGAAGUUAACGCUGCAUGAUCUGUGUGACUGACGGGAAGGGGCUCACUAAUGCCCCUUAAACCAAGCUUACAGUUCAUUGGCCUGGACCCCAGCAAAAGCUGAUCAGUACCCCCCUCUUAUCCCCUGGCUAAGCAAACUAACUACUGUUUGAUUGGGGCAGUUGAAAAAUAAUAAUCUCUAGCAUUUAUAUAGCGCUUUAAGUUUUCCAAAGCACUUUACUGUCUAGUUUUAUCCUUACAACAACCCUGGGAGGUAGGUGUUACAAUAAUCACCAUUUUACACAUCAGAAAACUGAGGCAAAUGAAGGUUUAAGUGACUUGCCCAGGGUCACAUAGCUAGUAAAUAUCUAAGGCUGAUUUGAAUUCAGGUCUUCUGGCUUCAGGUCCAGUGCCCUAUCCACUGUGCCAUCUAGCUGCCUUUAAUACUUGGAAAAAACCCAAACCCCAACCCUUUUAAUUAAGGUAACCUUUCCACAGCUAUAUAAAUCCUAAAGAAUUAAUACAGGCAUCCUUUACCCUUUUUACAUGAAUUUCCAGGGGAGCAGGUGGGCAUUGACUCCAAAUGAAACUAAAAGUUGGGAGGCCAAUAAACUGAAAUGCACCAAAGAGGAGCACCUCUGCACACAAAGGAUGCUGGACCAGACUCUGCUUGACCUGAAUGAGAUGUAGAAAUCCCUUUAACCCCAGCCCCACCCUGUCGCUGCUCCUUCCACUGACUCUGACUUCGCUGGAGGCCAGCCUGCUUGAAGCUGACCUUUAAACUGAGGGCUGAUCUUUAACCUGAAGGCUGCUUUCUUCUCUGGGUCCUUGCUUACCCUCUCCCCACUCUCCCCCUACCCCCCAACUCCCCAUGUCAUUUUCACCAAACUGUCUCUGCCGCUCUCCCCUAGAGAUCCCAGAUGGGCUAAGGGUUGAGCACUUUUGGGAACAACAUUUAAGGGAACAUGAGCACAAUGCAAUGGUGUCUUUAAAAGCAUGUUGUAUGAUGUAUACAUUUUGUAAUUACCUUUUUUGUUGUUGUUGGUAGCAACCAUUUGUAAGACAUUCCAGAUAAUUCCCCAGCUCCUAGGCUGCAUCUAAUCACUUUUCUUCCUUUUGGAUGGUAAAUAUUUCUACCCAAAACAACGGCCCUUCUCCAUAGAAGAGGGGAGGAGGUGUUAGCCUGCCCUACCAAGAGCUGAACGUAACCCAAGAAAAGACUCCACCAUGGGAAACCUCAUUGCCUAAUGUACCAAGCACCAGCCAAACCAGAAAGGUCAUUCCAGGAGUUUGCCAAAAAAAGAGUGCUGUUCAGGUUUCCAGCUUUAAGGUGUAUUGGGGUGUUUUUUCUUUUCCUUUUCCUUUUUUUUUUUUAAACAUUUACAUCAGUAGCAAACAUGCAAACUACACAGAAAAGACCUCUGAGACCAAAUUGUCUUCCCUCUCCUCAUUCACUCACAGAAUGGAUCAUGUACCCCAGAAAUUGGGGUGUCUACUCCCAUCCCCCGCUCCACCUUCUUUGAAAAAUAACGUUUUUGCCACUGAUUAGCCAAGUGAAAUUCAUCUCAUUACCCAUUUCUGGGUCUGAAGCUGCUGUCUCUAAAAGUGCCAUCUCAUUGUGCUUUGUAUCACUCAGUGCUGGAGAAAUCUUGAAUAGCUUGUGUACAAAACUUUUUUUUAAUUUUAUAUAUAUUAUUUUUGAAGCUUUAUUUCUCUUGGGUGGGGAGUGCCAAGACCAACCCCCCACCCCACCUCUACCCCACCUCCACCCCAAUCUGGCUGUGAGUGCUGUCUGCAGUCCAUGGGCUGGCAGUGUGCUUGAUUUUUUUUUUUAUUUUUAUUUUUUUUUUGGCGAGGUUUCUGUGAGGUCUGUUAGGUUUGCAUCGUGCAGCUUAUUGGCUUAAGUGUAUUCUCCUUUGGUAUGGUCUAUUUGGGAGCCAAUCUGGAGAAAGAGGAACCAAUAGUGCAAGUGUUUUGAUACUGAAAAUUGACAAAAUGUCUUUGAAAUAAAGAACCAGUCCCUCCACCCUCA